rnacentral:rRNA from 1 species
GACGAACGCUGGCGGCGUGCUUAACACAUGCAAGUCGAGCGGAAAGGCCCUUCGGGGUACUCGAGCGGCGAACGGGUGAGUAACACGUGAGCAACCUGCCCUUAGCUCUGGGAUAGCUCCGGGAAACCGGAAUUAAUACCGGAUAUGACCUUGGCCGGCAUCGGCUGGGGUGGAAAGUUUUUUCGGCUGGGGAUGGACUCGCGGCCUAUCAGCUUGUUGGUGGGGUAAUGGCCUACCAAGGCGACGACGGGUAGCCGGCCUGAGAGGGCGACCGGCC